rnacentral:rRNA from 1 species
AGAGUUUGAUCCUGGCUCAGGAUGAACGCUAGCUACAGGCUUAACACAUGCAAGUCGAGGGGAAACGACAUCGAAAGCUUGUCUUUGUAUGGUCGUCGACCGGCGCACGGGUGAGUAACGCGUAUCCAACCUGCCCAUCACUUGGGGAUAACCUUGCGAAAGUAAGACUAAUACCCAAUGAUAUCUCUAGAAGACAUCUGAAAGAGAUUAAAGAUUUAUCGGUGAUGGAUGGGGAUGCGUCUGAUUAGCUUGUUGGGCGGGGUAACGGCCCACCAAGGCAACGAUCAGUAGGGGUUCUGAGAGGAAGGUCCCCCACAUUGGAACUGAGACACGGUCCAAACUCCUAAGGGAGGCAGCA